rnacentral:rRNA from 1 species
AUACCGCAUGAUGUCUACGGACCAAAGUGGGGGACCUUCGGGCCUCACGCCAUAAGAUUAGCCCAAGUGGGAUUAGCUAGUUGGUGAGGUAAUGGCUCACCAAGGCGACGAUCCCUAGCUGGUUUGAGAGGAUGAUCAGCCACACUGGGACUGAGACACGGCCCAGACUCCUACGGGAGGCAGCAGUGGGGAAUAUUGCACAAUGGGCGCAAGCCUGAUGCAGCCAUGCCGCGUGUGUGAAGAAGGCCUUCGGGUUGUAAAGCACUUUCAGUAAGGAGGAAAGUUAAGUGUUAAUAGCACUUAGCUGUGACGUUACUUACAGAAGAAGCACCGGCUAACUCCGUGCCAGCAGCCGCGGUAAUACGGAGGGUGCGAGCGUUAAUCGGAAUUACUGGGCGUAAAGCGUACGCAGGCGGGUUUGUUAAGCSAGAUGUGAAAGCCCCCGGGCUCAACCUGGGAACUGCAUUUCGAACUGGCAAACUAGAGUGUGAUAGAGGGUGGUAGAAUUUCAGGUGUAGCGGUGAAAUGCGUAGAGAUCUGRAGGAAUACCGAUGGCGAAGGCAGCCACUYGGGUCAACACUGACGCUCAUGUAMGAAAGCGUGGGGAGCAAACAGGAUUAGAUAGCCUGGUAGUCCACGCCGUAAACGAUGUCUACUAGAAGCUCGGGUCUUCGGACUUGUUUUUCAAAGCUAASGCAUUAAGUAGACCGCCUGGGGAGUACGGCCGCAAGGUUAAAACUCAAAUGAAUUGACGGGGGCCCGCACAAGCGGUGGAGCAUGUGGUUUAAUUCGAUGCAACGCGAAGAACCUUACCUACACUUGACAUACAGAGAACUUACCAGAGAUGGUU